rnacentral:rRNA from 1 species
CUUGGCGGCAAUAGCAAACUGGAACCACCUGAACCCAUUCCGAACUCAGAAGUGAAACGGUUUAGCGCCGAUGAUAGUGUGGAUUACCCAUGUGAAAGUAGGACACUGCCAAGC